GUACGAAAAAACAUCGUACCGACUGGUAGGGACGAAUCAAAGCGAUCGAAAAUGUAAUUUAGACAUUCAGUAUUCAGUAGUGCGGGUGCUCUCAUUAGAUAUAGAUUUGUGUGUGGUCGGAGUUCUAACAGAUUUAGAUACCUGAUUAUGUACGUGUUCGUAAUAAUUCAAGUCAUGCGUAGUGCAUCCAAAUUCGAAACAUGAUCCAAGCAUACUGUUGGAACAAAUCUAAACACAAUUGAAAUCCGUUCAUUAAACACCUUGACGGAAAUUUAAAAAGGAUCAAAAUAUUUAUGUAUUAUGUACAUACAUGUUUUUAUUAGAUGUUUUUAGUGCGCGAUUCGACUCGAAAAUUUUAACACGUUAACGAGACGAAAAGUUUAAAGUGCGCGAUCGAUAACGCGGUUUGCCGAAAGGAAUGUGAUUGUUGGAUAAAUAACAAAAAUAAAAAUAAGUCUUAUUAUUAUAUAAAACUUUUUCAACCAGAUAUUUUCACGAUUCUGAACCGAACUGCUAGUGUAUAUAUGGGCACAUUAAUUGUUUUCUGCAUUAUUAAACCUCCAAUAAUUAUACCUGAAGAACUGAAUUUUGUAAAAUUGAUUUUUUUCCAAAUUUCAACUUUUAUAAUAAGAAAGCAGCACUGGAAUUCAUUAUACACGCCUAAUAAAUAAAAUUUUUGAGAUGAAUUUUCAAAAGCGGUUUUAAUUGAAAUGUUUUUAUUUUUGUUAUGUAAUGAGUGUGGUAUGAAAAUUAAUUUUAGGAUAAUUUUUUAGUGGUUUACAUUUAUUACAGGAUUCCCAGUAAUAUUUUAAUCACAUACGAGGGUUACUACUCAAGUUUUGAGUUAGACAAAUAAAAACAAAUGUUUAUCAUUGAGUACGACUAUUGUUUUUCAAAAUCUUCAUUAAGAUCGAGACACUUUUCCAUGCAUUUCCGAUUAAUGUACUUCCAAAUCAUAUGAUUUGAACGCUUCAAUCGCUUCUUCAGUUGUACGGAAAACCUUGGCUCGCAAAUUUAGUUUUGAUCCGCGGGAAUGGGAAGAAAUUAUUGGGUGCCAAACAAGAACUGUACGGGGAAUGACGCAUCAAUUGAUGGUUUGACUGUUUCAAAACCUUGUUUGAACUGAUUUGUGAAGACUCAUCCAUACUCUUUUCCUUGCCCUUAUUUUUAAGAAAACUUCUAACAAACAAAUGCUGAUGUACCAUUCAAAAUUGAUCAUUCUACGUUGCUCUAAUGAAACGGUGGCUGAAAAAACAGGUGCUUCGUGUACGAACAACAAAACUUCUUUUGAGCAAUUGUAGUAUUCAACGCGAACAAAUAUUCAUUUAAUAUUGGAAUGCUUCAUUCUCACGAUAUGUCACAUGUCGAUCUUGCAAUAUCAGUUUACACAUAGAAUCGAUUUUUUCUGGCACAACAGUCAAUUUUUGAUGACUUUCAUGAAAUUCAUCCAGUGGCGAUGUACAACCAAGAUUAAACCAACGAAACUCGGUGGUUCAAAAUGGUACUUUAUCACCAAAAGUCGAAGCAAAUUGAUCCACACAAUGCUGUUGUUUUUAUUUUUUAUAUUUUUACAAAAUUCACAUCAACUAUAUGCUGGUUAUUGAGUUUAUUAUCGAAAUCCGUCUAAUAUAAUUUUUGGUGUUAGUAAUAUUGUAUAAUAGGUCUAAAAAUUUGAUGAAGAUCUUUCUGCGUUAAAAAUGGACACUCUACAAUUAUGUGUUUUAUAAUCAAUUUGCAAUUGCAGUUGUUACAUUUAGGUUCAGGUUCAGUAUGGAAUAAGUAGCUAUGGGUCAGUCGCGAAUGCCCUAGAAGGAGACGUGUUAGAAAAUUUUCAUCUCUACGAUUUUUCAGUAUCACUGACCAUGGUUUCAUGGAGUCCUUCACUUCACGAAGCUUGUAUGUGGACUUUGAUCAUUUGUUCUCAUUCUUUGAGCACUUCACAUUUUAGGAAUGAUUUAAUAUCGACUCUAGUUGAAAAGUUCUCGCACUUGCUUAACUGCUAUUGGUUUAAUCUACAUCGAAAAUGUUCGCGAUCCAAUUCUAUUUUUUGACCAAGAUGAAUGUUUCAAGUGUCUGUAAACAUUUCAAAUAGCAUUCGUGUAACAACACGUUCUGAAUACUUUCACCAUUAAAAAUGUCAUACUUUAUAAUGGUUUUCAAAUUUAACAUACUCUCAGUGUUGCUAUAUCUGAAAACUUAACUAACAACCCUCGUACGUACGGAGAAAUCGUUUCGAAUUCGUUUACAUAAUUUUUCAAAAAAAAAAAUGAAUAUUUUUGACAUAAUAUAAAAAAAUUUGUUUGAAAUAUCAAAAAAAUUAAACGGGGGGACUAAAUAUGAAAUAAUAUUUUCGAAAAUUUCUUCUGAAUACCAAGAUUAUUUUGAAUCACUUUGAUAAAAAAAUGGUAGGGUAGAUUGAAGUCUAUAGGGAAAUAGCAAAAAAAUUACAUUAAAAGCAUUUUAAAAAUCGAGUUUUAAUGUUAAAUUUGUUAAGAUUAUUCGAAAAUAUUUUGAACAGGUUCAAAUAAAUGAAAAAUUAAUCUAGAUAAAUUGAAACUGAACAUAUAUUUAUAUUUAGGUAGAUACAAGGAAGAGUUGGGAGUAUUUUGAUAUGUGGCAUUUUCAAAUUUGUUAAUUUAGUUGUGGGGGUUAAACAAACUUCAAAAUUUGUUAACGAUGUUUGAAUAACGUUAUGAUAAAAUGUGAUCGCAUGGUUAUCCCCGGGUACAAUAAGGACUUGUAGUUUUUAGAAAAUCUCCUUUCAAUUCAUAAUUUACUCGUUUUAAGCAAAUUUAUCAAAAACACUCGAAACCAGAUUACUUAAAAUAUGUCGCAAAUUUGGGGUACUCCAUCAUAUAAGUUAAAUUCGGAAUCCAUCGCGUAUUAUAUAUAUCUGAUCAAAACUAUUUGCCCGAUUUGUGAAGGUGAUUAAAUAAAAUCUGAAAGUUACUGUUUUAGACAAAGCUGUCGAUUGAUCCAUGAUUUCUAUCCUUUACUUUUAUAAAUCUGAAUCUAGUAAAUAUUUGAUGAAUAAUUAUCCUAAUAUUAAUUACAUUUGACUUGAUUCCAAGGGGUAGCUAAAAAUUUGUUAAUUGAUUGAAUACUCUUUGCUAUAUUUAUUAUGUAACUUGUAGAUGCGAUUAUCAUUCAAAUGACUUUCUGAGUAAUCUGUUGAGAUUUUCUUGAACUAUGAGGACGAGGCUGUUGGGUAAAGCUAAUUUUUUUCGGAAAAUUAGUUCCCAAUAAACAACAAGUACUGGCUUGAGGUCGCUCUAAUGUGGUGGACUGACAAGUCUGUACUAUGGGGAUGAUUGUGUGAUGUAUGUGUUUGGAAUUUGAUCAUAAAUGAGGCAGGCAACCGCUGCGAUAUGGAAAAGUGAUUAAUAAAUUUCGGUAUCGGUGGUUUCGGUGUGUCGCGAAUCGAUUUUAAAAGUAUUGGACAAUAUGGAAACUGGUAUAUGGGUAUGGAAUAAAGAAAAUAUGGAUAUGGAGAUUCGGUUUCGUGGAUAAUAAUAAGUGAGUACAUUUUUUUACUUAUCAAAUUAGGUUAGGUAAUUACCUUUUUUAAUGACAGUACGUUGAUUAUCACACAAGUAUAAAUUGAGCUUUUUUGAGUCAGUCGUUUGAUAUAUUACUCUGUUGGAAAUCUUUUCUUUUGUUUAUUUCCCAAGUGAAUGAUUGAAUUUAUGCAGAUAAACAGUAUCUUUCAUAAAAUGCACAUUUUUUUUCAAAAUACAUCAUAUGGAGAGUAAGCGCUUAUAUGAAUUUCAUGUUUGCUAUCUUCAAUUCGAUACCCACUUCAUAUAUUAUAAAUUUUCGUUUCACAUAUACAUAUCUAAUUUGAACUUUAUAAUCUCAGAUUCACCAAGUAGUCACUAUAUUUUAUCUAAACUACGGCAGAUAUGAAUGAUUAUCGUAUUCUUGUCGAUUCAAGGAUACUAUUGAUUUCUUGAAAAAUUUUUUAUUAAGUAUUUGAAAAUAUAAAUUACGUUUUUAUAAGUGUGAUUAUAAGAAAAACAAUACAGAAUCAACCAAAUUUGGGUUAAACUAGGCGGCCAUUUUCAUAUAACCACACUGUAUUGCAAACUGGUAUACGAAUCAGUUGUCAAAAAGCGAAAAGUAACAGCCAAUUUUUUUUUUCGAGGUACUGUAAAUGUAAAAUUUAUUGUAAGAAUAUGUAGUUAAUUAAAUAUUCUACACGUUGAUUCACUGUGUAAAAACUUUUAUGGAAAAUUUAUGCCGAAUCAGAAGUUUCCCGAAUUUUUUUGGUUCGUUACACGAACAUACCUCGCGUCCGAUAGACGUGAGGACCAUUAAAGCGAAUAUUAAUUUAGUAGCAUAGUAGUGGCGUUGCUGCUAAAGUAGCUGAAAGUAGGUUUGCUGAUCAAGCUAGCGGCUAAGUUUACGUCGAGUAAACAUCUGUGACAGUGAAGUGUAGUGAAAGCGGACUCUGAUAAGACCCUGAUAAAACUUUCUAUUUCAGGUUGUGUCAUUUAGGUACAUCCUUUAUUUUAUAUGUUUUAAGAUUUUUAAUUCGCAUGAAGAGAGUUUGUUAAUAAAGCAAGUUUGAUUGUGCGGAGAAUUCCGUUAUUUAAAAUGGCCGUACACUUAGUUAAAUGAUAAUUUGAGGUCAAUAAAAUAGAAGAGAAAGAUCAAGAUAAGAGUUAAAGGCAUAGAGCCUGACAACUCCAUAAGUAGGGAAAAACCCUACGAUAGAGGAACGUCGAAGGAUAGAAUAACGAAACUUCUUGAAGCCAUAAUAAAGAGAAGAAGAUAACCAAAAAAAGGAUGAGGAAAUCAAGCUCCUGAGGAGAACAGUUGAAACACAAACAGCUAGAAUGCAGAACAUGAUGGAAACAAUAGACGAAACAAACGCCAAAGCAAUAACACUUAUCGAACAAAACUAAAAGUACAAAAAAAAGAACAAA